rnacentral:rRNA from 1 species
UACGUAGGUGGCAAGCGUUGUCCGGAAUUAUUGGGCGUAAAGGGUGCGUAGGCGGCGCGGUAAGUCGGGUGUGAAAUCUCGGAGCUUAACUCCGAAACUGCAUUCGAUACUGCCGUGCUUGAGGACUGGAGAGGAGACUGGAAUUUACGGUGUAGCGGUGAAAUGCGUAGAUAUCGUAAGGAAGACCAGUGGCGAAGGCGGGUCUCUGGACAGUUCCUGACGCUGAGGCACGAAGGUCAGGGGAGCAAACGGG